AGUGGCAGCAAAUCGGAAGAAGAGCAAAAAAAAACAAUAGAACGGCAACGCAAUUUUUCAGGAUCAGAUGAAGAAAAUUCAGACUCAGGUUUAGAUAGAUCUGAUGCCGAAGUUGAUUCUGGACCAAAAAUUACAAGAGGUAUAUUACGCGACCAAGUUGCCAAUGGGGAAGCUUCGGAUGAGCGGCGCAAAAAACGUCAUGCAUUUUUUUACCGUGCUGAUAAACCAGUGCGCUGGGAAGAAUAG